rnacentral:misc_RNA from 1 species
AAAGUCGUAACAAGGUAUCCGUAGGUGAACCUGCGGAUGGAUCAUUAUCGUAUCCAAUACUACCUAUCUACCAAAAUCGUGAACCGUUUGCCUUUUAUACAACAUUCUGCCAAUUGAAUGCCUCUCUGGGCAUUUGAUCGCUCUCUUGGAAUUGAAAGGGUGAGACUCGUCAAGGGUCGGCUCGUUGUAUGAAAGUGUAUACUUCUCUUCAAUUCUAUUCUACUAUUAACCAAUUGAACCAUUUCUUAAAAAAAUGUUUUUCUUUGUAUUGAACUGAAUUGUUUCUUACUCGUCUUCGCAAGAAGUGAGAAGAAAUCGAUUUACGAAAUAAAAAGAACAACUCUUAGCAACGGAUAUCUUGGUUCUC